UACGUAGGGUGCGAGCGUUACUCGGAAUUACUGGGCGUAAAGCGUGCGCAGGCGGUUUUGUAAGCCAGAUGUGAAAUCCCCGGGCCUAACCUGGGAAUGGCAUUUGGGACUGCAAGGCUUGAGUGCGGCAGAGGAGACUGGAAUUCCUGGUGUAGCAGUGAAAUGCGUAGAUAUCAGGAGGAACACCGAUGGCGAAGGCAGGUCUCUGGGCUGACACUGACGCUCAUGCACGAAAGCGUGGGGAGCAAACAGG
rnacentral:rRNA from 1 species